UCGAGGGGCAGCAUGGUCUUAGCUUGCUAAGGCCGAUGGCGACCGGCGCACGGGUGAGUAACACGUAUCCAACCUGCCGUCUACUCUUGGACAGCCUUCUGAAAGGAAGAUUAAUACAAGAUGGCAUCAUGAGUCCACAUGUUCACAUGAUUAAAGGUAUUCCGGUAGACGAUGGGGAUGCGUUCCAUUAGAUAGUAGGCGGGGUAACGGCCCACCUAGUCUUCGAUGGAUAGGGGUUCUGAGAGGAAGGUCCCCCACAUUGGAACUGAGACACGGUCCAAACUCCUACGGGAGGCAGCAGUGAGGAAUAUUGGUCAAUGGGCGAGAGCCUGAACCAGCCAAGUAGCGUGAAGGAUGACUGCCCUAUGGGUUGUAAACUUCUUUUAUAAAGGAAUAAAGUCGGGUAUGCAUACCCGUUUGCAUGUACUUUAUGAAUAAGGAUCGGCUAACUCCGUGCCAGCAGCCGCGGUAAUACGGAGGAUCCGAGCGUUAUCCGGAUUUAUUGGGUUUAAAGGGAGCGUAGAUGGAUGUUUAAGUCAGUUGUGAAAGUUUGCGGCUCAACCGUAAAAUUGCAGUUGAUACUGGAUAUCUUGAGUGCAGUUGAGGCAGGCGGAAUUCGUGGUGUAGCGGUGAAAUGCUUAGAUAUCACGAAG
rnacentral:rRNA from 1 species